AGCGUGUGAGAUGAAAGACUACAACCAAGAGACAGUAAAAACCAGAAAGGUCAGGAAUACUUAUUGAAUCUAACUUUGUUUUUGUUUUUGUUUUUCCUUAUCAUGAAAGGUGGGAUGAGAGGAAAUUGACACAUAUAUGCUGAGAUACUAACGUGUCAGGUUUUGAAAGGGGUUGUUACAGCUGCAAAGGAGAAUUGUAUAGUACUAAUGAGUAAAGAUGCGUGUACACUUUGUUCUAUUUAAGGCGAAAGUUUAUAUAAGAGGAACUUUUUUCUUAGAAAGAGAUCGUAGAGAUGUCUGAGACCUAGUUUAAAAAUGAUUCCAUAAUUAUGUAGACUUGGGCAGUUCCCUUCUGAGGCUCCUCCCCCCAAAAUUUGAAGAUUGUGCUUGGAAACUACUUUAAAUGUAUUUGGGCUGUAUGUCAAAUUCUAUAAAAUUAGACUUUAAGACAAGUUUAUACUGAGAGGUUAAUAAUUUAUAUCUAUUGAAGACUUAGAACUAGCCGGGAAAAAUGAAGAAAAACAAAAACAAAGGCUGAUUUUUAUUCUUCUAUUCAAAAUACAAGGACAGAUGCUUCUCUGUUCCAAGAGGGUUUCCUUGAGGAAGCUACUGAAGCAGAAAGACAUGAUGGAGACGAGAUCGCCUCCCCUCUUGUCAAAGUGUUAAAAAAAUAUUCUGUCUUACUCUGAGCCUAGCAUUGGAAAUGAAAGUGACAUUUACGCCACAACCCACGUGUGCGCCUCCUCUCUUUUUGUUUAAGGAUGAUCAGGUCUAUCCAGGAAACAGCUCUGGCAUCCCAAACUGAAAUAAUUAGGACGUAUAUAGACCUGACAAAAAUGGAAAGGGGGUGGGGAAUCUGAGGGUCUGUCCUGCCUAAUUGAUUCCGCUAAACGGAAUGCAGGAGAUGUGAACGGCAGGACGCUCCGAUUCCCACGCUCGGGGGCAAGUGGUAAAGCGGGCCGGCAGCCUAUGACAGACAGCCCUGUUGGGGGGUAGGGGUAUGAAAAAAACAUCAAGUGCACACACCAUACUCAUCUCCAUCGCUUAAGAAAGUAAAGGCAUUUCCCACCCAC
rnacentral:lncRNA from 1 species